rnacentral:tRNA from 1 species
GAAGGUAUGGCUCAGUGGUAGAGCACAUGCUUAGUAUGCACAAGGUCCUGGGUUCAAUCCUCAGUACCUCCA